GAUGAACGCUGACAGAAUGCUUAACACAUGCAAGUCAACUUGAACUUCGGUUUGUGUGGCGGACGGGUGAGUAACGCGUACAGAACUUGCCUCACAGAUAGGGACAACAUUUGGAAACGAAUGCUAAUACCUGAUAUUAUGAUUAUAUGGCAUCGUAUAAUUAUGAAAGCUAUAUGCGCUGUGAGAGAGCUUUGCGUCCCAUUAGCUAGUUGGAGAGGUAACGGCUCACCAAGGCGAUGAUGGAUAGCCGGCCUGAGAGGGUGAUCGGCCACAAGGGGACUGAGAGAGGGCCCGUACGGCUACGGGAGGCAGCAGUGGGGAAGAUUGGACAAUGGACGAAGAGUCUGAUCCAGCAAUUCUGUGUGGACGAUGAAGUUUUUCGGAAUGUAAAGGGCUUUCAGUUGGGAAGAAAAAAAUGACGGUACCAACAGAAGAAGUGACGGCUAAAUACGUG
rnacentral:rRNA from 1 species